UGUGCAUUUACCGCUUGUCCAACGUCCAUCUACAUUUGUUUCCUUCGGUGGAUCUCCAGCUCAGUUUCCCCUUUCCAGUCAGCGCCGCCUCUAGGGUUUCACCUUCUCACCCUCCUGAUGUCUUGUCUGGCUCUGUCCGAUCUACGUGCUGGUUGGGACAAACAGACCGUGUGCGUCCGUGUGUCUCGCCUAUGGCAUUACCGUGGUGGUUUAGAGAAUGGACCUGUCAAGCUUCUGCACAUGAUCCUCAUCGACGCUCAUGGUAACCAUGGCUAUGCAGUUGUUCCGACAGAUUUUCUUGUCACUUAUAUUGAUAUGCUGCAUGAAGGCGUGGUGUAUGAGUUCAGUCGUUUCAGCGUGAUGUCUUCAUCAUGAACCCCGUCGAUGCGUCAUUGAUGAUCCAAUUUACACAAUUUACAAUUGUGAAGAAUUGUUUCGAUCUGAAUGACGUAUUUCCGGAGUGGGCAUUCAACCUGACCCCACUAAAUGAAUUACCCCUUGCAAAUGAUACUCCCCAAGCCUACAUAGUUUGCGCAUUUACUUGUGUAGAUGUUAUCGGGGUUAUCAUGGCGAUUUCUCCUGUGAAAGCCAGUCGGGUGCCCAAUACUCUUAGACAAGUAUUCAGGUGCCGUCUGAUCCUCUCUGACAAUAAUGGCCACGAACUUGGAAUAACCCUUUGGGGUGAGAGUGCUAUUCGAUUUAAUGGAGAGAGUGUGCAUGUCAUGGGUCAAACAGACCCGGCUGUCGUUAUCUUUGUCGGCACCACCGUUUGUAUGUAUGAAGGGUCCAAGGAAUUAUCUGGUGGAUGUGCUUGCAAAUGAUAUGUUAACCAUGAUAUACCAGAUAUAAACAUAUUUAGGAGCAGGCUCCCAGUCAUCUUCCCUGCCAUUGAGCAUCUUCCUGCACCGUCGAAGAUUAUUCUCCAGGUCCAACAUGCCGAUGUGCAUCCAAUGGUGUUAUUGACCCACCUCAUAAACAUCAACUUAUAUCAAAAGGAGGUACCAUUGUAACACCAUGCAGUUUUGGCAGUCUUCCCAUAGUGCUUGCUAUUUACUUCUCAGGCGGGAACCUUCCGAUGCAAUGUGGUGAUUACCAGGGUUUCACAUUUGAAAAAAUGAUGGGCUACCUUCUGUGCAGACUGCCAUCACAUGUCCAUGCCAGCUACAACAUCGCUUACCCAGCCAGAUGUUUAUAUGUGCUCUCGUCGAUCUUGUUCAUGCACUAGCGCUACAAUUGGAUGAGAACAAUUCAAUGUUAUAUCAAUCAAUGGUCAUUUGCUCUCCCUGCUCAUUUCAUCUAUGUUAAUGUUCAGGUACACAUUGUUUGUCCUUGCGAAAGAUCGAAGUGGAGAGGCUGAAUUUGAAUUGUUUGGCACAAAGGCUCAACAAAUCAUCGAUCGAUCUGCUAGCCAGGUCCUUCGCAACAGCACUCGCAUGGCCCUGCUAUUCCCAAUGUUCAUGUAGUGGCCUCAAUGCUAAGGAAAACCCCGCCUGAACUCAGUGGUCUCCUUUCCAUGAGAUGUAAGUUUGUUGUUCGUGCAUCGCCUGAAAGUUUCUUCGGAAGGUGGCCGAUGUUCCAUGUCGAUGCUAUUGAGUCCUUUGAGCCCGUCAAAUCGAACCUCUCUAUGAUAGAUUUUCUUACGCCAUCAUGAAGUGAUGCACGCAAGGAACUUCUUAUGAGAUCAGUGUGGAUGUUCCCUAGAGUUGAUUUUCGGUCUCCUGACCGAUCUCUAGAUCUUUUGAUAAUGAACCUUUUUAUUAGUAGGAUUGUAAAUAUAUCGGUUCUGUAAACAGUAUUGUAUUAACUAUGACACUAUGGUCUUUUACCUUGGGACUAGGCUGCUGUUGAAAACAUGGUUAAAUAUAAUGUUCAUGUGCGUUUCCUUUCA